rnacentral:rRNA from 1 species
CCUACGGGAGGCAGCAGUAGGGAAUUUUCGUCAAUGGGGGGAACCCUGAACGAGCAAUGCCGCGUGAGUGAAGAAGGUCUUCGGAUCGUAAAGCUCUGUUGUAAGAGAAAAACGGGUAUCAUAGGGAAUGAUGAUAUCGUGAUGGUAUCUUACCAGAAAGCCACGGCUAACUACGUGCCAGCAGCCGCGGUAAUACGUAGGUGGCAAGCGUUAUCCGGAAUGAUUGGGCGUAAAGGGUGCGUAGGCGGGAAAAUAAGUCUGAAGUAAAAGGCGUUGGCCUAACCCACGUCAGCCUUGGAAACUGGUAAGCCAGCGUGGCAGAGAGGUUAGUGGAAUU